rnacentral:rRNA from 1 species
CGACUCUCGGCAACGGAUAUCUCGGCUCUCGCAUCGAUGAAGAACGUAGCGAAAUGCGAUACUUGGUGUGAAUUGCAGAAUCCCGUGAACCAUCGAGUCUUUGAACGCAAGUUGCGCCCCAGGCCGUUAGGCCGAGGGCACGUCUGCCUGGGUGUCACG